AUGGAAUUCAAGAGGCUUCCCUGUGCGUGGGAGGGAGGAAUCGAUGACAAGGUUUCAGUUCCCUCAGUUGGGACGGGGACGAUCGAAGAAGAGAGAAAAUACCCAACUACAUUUUCUCA